UACAGAGGGUGCGAGCGUUGUUCGGAAUUACUGGGCGUAAAGCGCACGUAGGCGGCUUUGCAAGUUAGAGGUGAAAGCCCGGGGCUCAACUCCGGAAUUGCCUUUAAAACUGCAUCGCUAGAAUUGUGGAGAGGUAAGUGGAAUUCCGAGUGUAGAGGUGAAAUUCGUAGAUAUUCGGAAGAACACCAGUGGCGAAGGCGACUUACUGGACACAUAUUGACGCUGAGGUGCGAAAGCGUGGGGAGCAAACAGG
rnacentral:rRNA from 1 species